rnacentral:rRNA from 1 species
AUGUACGGUACUAAUGAUGAUUGCACUAGUUAUGACGAAAAUGUCUCCUAUAAACAUGUCAAUUUUUGUGGAGUGGAUUGGGUUUGCAAGUACACACCAAAUAGGGAAGAUAGAUAUUGCAAGAGGCAUAAGUACUUAGAAACUAAAUUGUUGCAAGAAAGUCUUGAUGAUUGCGCUGAAAGAUUCAAUAUUUUUCGCGCCCCUUGUGAACUUUGCAAUGAACAUGGUCAUUUAAAGCUCCAAUGCUAUUUGUUUUAUGAUCAAGUCGUGUCCAAAUAUUGUGAUAAUUUGAUUACCCUUGAGCAUCAUAAAGAACUUAGCCUUCUUUUGGGUUAUAAAUAA